UACGUAGGGUGCAAGCGUUGUCCGGAAUUAUUGGGCGUAAAGAGCUCGUAGGCGGUCUGUCGCGUCUGCUGUGAAAACUCAGGGCUUAACCCUGAGCUUGCAGUGGGUACGGGCAGACUAGAGUGCGGUAGGGGAGACUGGAAUUCCUGGUGUAGCGGUGAAAUGCGCAGAUAUCAGGAGGAACACCGGUGGCGCAGGCGGGUCUCUGGGCCGUAACUGACGCUGAGGAGCGAAAGCAUGGGGAGCGAACAGG
rnacentral:rRNA from 1 species